rnacentral:rRNA from 1 species
ACGCUCGACACCUACGGGAGCAGCAGUGAGGAAUAUUGGUCAAUGGACGCAAGUCUGAACCAGCCAUGCCGCGUGCAGGAUGACGGCUCUAUGAGUUGUAAACUGCUUUUGUACGAGGGUAAACGCAGAUACGUGUAUCUGUCUGAAAGUAUCGUACGAAUAAGGAUCGGCUAACUCCGUGCCUGCAGCCGCGGUAAUCUGAGCGGGCUGGCAAGGC